GAUGACCUUUUACUACAUGGAUAACCGUGGUAAUUCUAGAGCUAAUACAUGCGCCAAAACCCGACUUUUAGGAAGGGUGGUAUUUAUUAGAUAAAGAACCAAUACCAUGUUCUGCAUGGUUUUUUGGUGAUUCAUAAUAACUGAUCGAAUCGCAGGCUUUGCCGGCGAUGGAUCAUUCAAGUUUCUGACCUAUCAGCUUCCGACGGUAGGGUAUUGGCCUACCGUGGCAUUGACGGGUAACGGGGAAUUAGGGUUCGAUUCCGGAGAGGGAGCCUGAGAAACGGCUACCACAUCUAAGGAAGGCAGCAGGCGCGCAAAUUACCCAAUCCUGACACAGGGAGGUAGUGACAAGAAAUAACGAUACAGGGCUAUAUGUCUUGUAAUUGGAAUGAGUAGAAUCUAAACCCCUUUACGAGUACCAAUUGGAGGGCAAGUCUGGUGCCAGCAGCCGCGGUAAUUCCAGCUCCAAUAGCGUAUAUUAAAGUUGUUGCAGUUAAAAAGCUCGUAGUUGGAUUUCUGCAAAAGGCAUUCGGUCCGCUCCUAUGGAGUGUGCACUCGUUUUGACUUUUGCAUCCUUCUGGGGAACACUUCGGUGGAAUCCAGAUCUUUUACUUUGAGAAAAUUAGAGUGUUUCAAGCAGGCUUUUGCCUUGAAUACUGCAGCAUGGAAUAAUAAUAUAGGACUUAAGUUCUAUUUUGUUGGUUUCUAGGACUUGAGUAAUGAUUAAUAGGGACAGUUGGGGGCAUUCGUAUUUAACUGUCAGAGGUGAAAUUCUUAGAUUUGUUAAAGACGAACUACUGCGAAAGCAUUUGCCAAGGAUGUUUUCAUUAAUCAAGAACGAAAGUUAGGGGAUCGAAGACGAUCAGAUACCGUCGUAGUCUUAACCAUAAACUAUGCCGACUAGAGAUUGGAGGUCGUCUCCUUAUGACUCCUUCAGCAACUUAUGAGAAUCAAAGUCUUUGGGUU
rnacentral:rRNA from 1 species